AAGCACAUUUCAUUAUCUUUUUCUUUAUAUUAAGAGAAAAUAUAUUUCUGAUGUGCUAAAUAAACCCCUGGAGGUAAAUUAGCGGCAUGACUAAUUUAGCCAUUUCUGUCAGUCUCCUUCAGACAACC
ensembl:snoRNA